AUUGAACGCUGGCGGCAGGCCUAACACAUGCAAGUCGAACGAGUGGCGGACGGGUGAGUAAUGUCUGGGAAACUGCCCGAUGGAGGGGGGUAACUACUGGAAACGGUAGCUAAUACCGCAUACCAUCGGAUGUGCCCAGAUGGGAUUAGCUAGUAGGUGGGGUAACGGCUCACCUAGGCGACGAUCACUAGCUGGUCUGAGAGGAUGACCCGCCAACCUGGAACUGAGACACGGUCCAGACUCCUACGGGAGGCAGCAGUGGGGAAUAUUGCACAAUGGGCUCAAGCCUGAUGCAGCCAUGCCGCGGGUAUGAAGAAGGCCUUCGGGUUGUAAAGUACUUUCAGCUAGGAGGCGUUACUCGCAGAAGAAGCACCGGCUAACUCCGUGCCAGCGGCCGCGGUAAUAC
rnacentral:rRNA from 1 species